rnacentral:rRNA from 1 species
AUGAGGGAUAUUGCGCAAUGGGGGAAACCCUGACGCAGCGACGCCGCGUGGGCGAGGAAGAGCUUCGGCUUGUAAAGCCCUUUUCUCCAGGAUGAGGAAGGACAGUACUGGAGGAAUAAGCCCCGGCUAACUACGUGCCAGCAGCCGCGGUAACACGUAGGGGGCAAGCGUUGUCCGGAUUUACUGGGCGUAAAGCGCGUGUAGGCGGCCUGUUAGGUCCCACUGUGAAAGGCAGGGGCUCAACCCCUGGAUUGCGAGGGAAACCGGCAGGCUGGAGAGAGGCAGAGGAAGGUGGAAUGGCUGGUGGAGCGGUGAAAUGCGUAGAGAUCAGCCGGAACACCCAAGGCGAAGGCAGCCUUCUGGGCCUCAUCUGACGCUGUGACGCGAAAGCGUGGGGAGCGAACGG